rnacentral:rRNA from 1 species
GACAGAGUUCUCAAGCGUUGUUCGGAUUCAUUGGGCGUAAAGGGUGUGUAGGUGGCGCCGUAAGUCGGGUGUGAAAUUUCGAGGCUUAACCUCGAAACUGCAUUCGAUACUGCGGUGCUUGAGGACUGGAGAGGAGACUGGAAUUCAUGGUGUAGCAGUGAAAUGCGUAGAGAUCAUGAGGAAGACCAGUGGCGAAGGCGGGUCUCUGGACAGUUCCUGACACUGAGACACGAAGGCCAGGGGAGCAAACGGG